AUGUUGCUUUGGUUUAGUUUUGCAAGAGGCUCAGCCUGGUGGGAACAAGUCUUGUUUUGCGUCCCCAUCUCCAUCUCCACUCCCACCUUCAUUCCCAAUCCCACUUCCAUCUCCAACCUUAACCCUGAUCCCAUCUCCAAUCUCAAUCUCAACCCCAAUCCCAUUUCCAACCCCAAUCCUGACCCCAUCUCCGUCCCUGUCCCUAUCUCCAACCUCCAUCUCCAGUUUCCAGCCCCAUCUCCACCCCUGUCCCUAUCUCCAACCUCCAGUCCCGUUCUCAUCUCCAAUCCCUGUCCCCACCUCCAACUCCAACCCCAACCCUGUCUCCAUCUCUGUCUCCAUCAUCUCCAAAUCCAAUCCCCAGUCUCCAAUCCCCAUCUCCAAUCCCCAUCUCUAUCACUGACCCCAACCCCACCACCAUCACCAAACCCAACCCCACCCCUGUCCCCAUCCCCAGCCCCCUCCCUGCCCCAUCCUCAUCCCCAUCCCAAGCUGGGGGUCCCACUGGGUGCCCCCAUUCCACUGGACACUCACACCUUCUCCUUUUCCCAAACUCUCCCAACCAACCAAAGCCAUCACCAAACCUCUGCCUUCCCCAGCACUGAGCAGAGCCCCAUUGGGAUUAUUCGAAAGCGGCGUGGCCGUGCACUCCCCACCCUGCUGGGCCAGCCGGCGCCUGCAGCCAGCCCCCCCGCGCCGGCGCUUCCCUCCAGCUCUAUUUUAAGAGCAUUUCCAACCAGCGCUGCCAAAGCCCCGUCCCGAAACAGCCCAUGGGGAGGAUGCUGGGGGCAAGCGGGGCCCGUAGCGCUCACACGUUUUUUUUAUUACUCCUAUUUUUUCGUGCACAAGCCCCUGUUUCCUUCCUUUCCCUUCAAAGAAACCUCACUGCUACCCUCAGCCAGAGUGCAGCAGCAGGAUGUGGGCAGAGAUAAGGGCCAUGCGGGUGAUGCUCACUGGACCGCAGGGAGCCACAACUGGGCCAGGGAAGCAGCAGUGCUAUGUAAACACCCCCUGCCUUGA
rnacentral:lncRNA from 1 species